GCCUCCCUCCUGGGGCUGCCCGCUCCCUGCUGGGGUCUGCAGGAGCCCCUGCUGUCUCACCCGACCCCUGGUUCAGGAGCUGGGAGAGGAGGCCCACCCCCUGCAAGAUGCACCCACCCAGACCAUUUGCAUCUCCAUUUCAGGGGUUCUUUCCUGUCCUGGCAGAAUUCAUCCAGGCUCAGUUGCCCUGGAGAUAGUCCCCUUGGGGCACCUGGGGGGAGGACGCUUGCACCCCACCGCACAGAAAAGAAAGGGAGAUGCCAGGGAAGGGCCUGGAGCAGAUCCGGCUGUUCACUCACACAUGGUGCUCAUGACAAAACCAAUCUAUCAUUCAGGGCAGAGCACAAUUCUUCAUGCUCAUCUGCUUGGCAGUUGCCACCCCUCCCAGCCCGGCGCCCGCGGUCAUUUUUUAUCUGCUCUGCUUUAUGGAGCUUCUCAUUUAGAACUGGGCUGUUCCCCCACCCAGCGGGCACCCGCUGCGCACCUAGGUUUCCACAUUUCCUGUCCAGCCCAGCCUGCCAGAGGCUAAGGAGCUCUGGACAGCGCCAGAAGGCCAUAGGAGAUCUGGGGUCUGACCCCAAGCCCAGCUGUCCCCGCGCGCACCAUAGCCUGUGAGGAACGGAGGGCAUGUUAUCCAGCAGGACAGAGCUUGGCCACCCUCUCAUUACCCCCACCAGCCACCAAGAACCCGUUUCCCCUCCUGCAGUGGUCCCUGGUGGAGGCUUUGCCCCUGGGGGCGGAGGGUGGCAGUGUCAUCCCCGCGAAGGAAGACCCUGCUCAGGGGACAGUGGCCGCGGGAGCACCCACUCCUCCCUGCGAUGACGCUGCCUCUGGUGUGACCCAGUUUGCUGCCUUUAUAUUUCAGGAUUGAGCUGACCUCUGACCUCACUUCCCUGUAGCAAGUUCCUUAGGUCCUGAGCCACAAAUAUUCUUGCAAAUCCUUUUGAACCGAAGAAUAAUGAAGUUACCCUUAGCACCCCCUAAAGGCUUUUCCUUUGGCAUCUUUAAGUCUUGAGAGAUAAAUGAAAUACCUAGAGAGCAGCCUGCAUCUCCUGGGUGCAUCUUGCCUGCACCGUGCAGGGAUGCAGACCCUCAGGCAGGACUUUCCCUGGCUGAGGACCCUGGGGCGCCUGUGCUCUGGGUCUGGGGUGUUCCUCCUUGUUUGGGUGGAUUGCUUUGUUAAGCAGAAGGGUUAAAGAGUUUGCUCUCACUCACUGAACUUCAAUUUUUCUUAUUGCUCAGCCCUGCCCACCACACACCCUUCACACCUGAGAUGGCCACAAGGUCAUCACUUUAAAAACAGUGUAGUUGAUUGCAGCCCUCCUUUUUCCUUCCCUGAAGCCAGACCAUGAAAGACUUUGAGGUGUGAUGGACAAAUGGAGCCGAGCUGCCCCUGCUCACCGGUGGGUCAGGGAUGGCCCACUGCCCUCUCACUCUCCGUCUGGCUCAGUUGGGGGGAUGAGAGAUGCUAUAUGGAUGACGGGGCAACAGAGCACCGGGGCCGUCGACAGACCGACUGCCCCUGUGUUCCUUUGGAGGAGGCUUACAUUGGCCUCUUGUUGCUCUGAGGCGUUUCCGCUGACACUCUUACCAGCUCAGCCGCAUCGCCACCUGGACUUUGGCUGAAGCAAUAAUAGCGUUCACUUGAAAUAGAUUUCUCACCAUGCCUUUUCCUAGGAAGUGUCAGAAUGAAACUCAUAAUCAGAUUGGUCCCAGAUUAGUUUCUUGGAAUUUUAUACGUGACAAUAUUUAUACUAUGCCAAACUAGUCUAGUUUUUAGAUGUGUUGGUUAAAACUUUUUUUUAAAGCAAUAAGUUUAUAGAAAAUUUUUUCCGUUUAAUGGAAGGCUGGGAAAUGUACAAUGUCAGCCUCUAAGGCAUGUUAUGUUCCCAGGGGCCUUCUCCCCUGGGUCCAAUACUUUAGGUUUAAGGGCCUGCGGCAGAACAGGCGACGAAGCAGCAGCCACACAGCCGCGUGACGAUAGAUGUCCUCUUGUGAGCACACAUGACCCACACAGCAAUAGCAAUGUCCUUGUCCAGGCUGGGAGCUAUUGAUACAAUAAGCAGGGGACUCCUUCCGGGUUAGUUACCUAAAUCUGUCCUGAACUUCCUGAACCUUGGGCACCAGGCCGCACGUGCUCUUGAUGGCGUGGAUCUGUGUUUUCAGCCUCUGUUCAGCCCAAUAAACUCUGAGUAGAUGAUCAUG